rnacentral:rRNA from 1 species
GUAGGUGGCAAGCGUUGUCCGGAAUUAUUGGGCGUAAAGCGCGCGCAGGUGGUUCUUUAAGUCUGAUGUGAAAGCCCCCGGCUCAACCGGGGAGGGUCAUUGGAGACUGGGGAACUUGAAUGCAGGAGAGGAAAGUGGAAUUCCACGUGUAGCGGUGAAAUGCGUAGAUAUGUGGAGGAACACCAGUGGCGAAGGCGACUUUCUGGCCUGUAACUGACACUGAGGCGCGAAAGCGUGGGGAGCAAACAGGGAUUAGAUACCCUGGUAGUCCACGCCGUAAACGAUGAGUGCUAAGUGUUGGGGGGGUUUCCCGCCCCUCAGUGCUGCAGCUAACGCAUUAAGCACUCCGCCUGGGGAGUACGGUCGCAAGACUG